GUGUAAAAAGCGCGGCUUCUAGAUACUUCCAUAGAUUGUCUGCUUCCGAACAUCUUUCCCCUUUUAGCCACCACCUCUCCUCCGACCCCAACACCAUCAAAGCCUCCAGCAAGCCUUCUUCUUCUUCUUCUUCAUCAAUCUCUCUGGGUUGCUCGAACAGCGAACGCGGAAACCACAGGGAUCGAGACCGCGAAAGGGCUCAGGCCAGGUCUGGCGGCAACAAAUCCAAGCCCAAAAAUGACGGAUUAACCCCUGAACAACGCCGCGAAAGGGAUGCGAAAGCGCUGCAGGAGAAGGCGAAGAAGAAGGCAGCGGCGCAGCAGGCCGGAGGGAUCAACGCCGGCGGCAAAAAAUGAGAUGGGAUGGAGAUAAUGUGAAGAUUAGGGACUACAUUAGGGAUUAAUGUGAUUGUGUGCCUUGUAAUUGUAUGGUGGGGUGGGAAUUAGAAGGGGUUUUGUUUUUGGUUUGGGAUUUGGAGUCUGUCUCUGUUUGAGUAUUUGAAAAUCGAGAUGAACAAUCAAAUUUCAAGUGUUUGUUUUGGUUCUGGAAACUGCCACUAAUGUGUACUUGUUAGAUUCUGAAAAGCUUUCAGCUUUAUAAGCCUUUGUAAUCGUAAUCUAUUAUUAAAUUUGUUUCCGUUAGUUCUUUUUA